CUGAACCAGCCAAGUAGCGUGAAGGAUGACUGCCCUAUGGGUUGUAAACUUCUUUUAUAAAGGAAUAAAGUCGGGUAUGCAUACCCGUUUGCAUGUACUUUAUGAAUAAGGAUCGGCUAACUCCGUGCCAGCAGCCGCGGUAAUGCGGAGGAUCCGAGCGUUAUCCGGAUUUAUUGGGUUUAAAGGGAGCGUAGAUGGAUGUUUAAGUCAGUUGUGAAAGUUUGCGG
rnacentral:rRNA from 1 species